rnacentral:sRNA from 1 species
ACCAGGUGUGGUGGUGCACGCCUGUAAUCCAGUGGCUCAGGAGGCUGAGGCAGGAGGAUCACAAGUUCAAAGCCAGCCUCAGCAACAGCGAGGCACUAAGCAAUUCAGUGAGACCCUGUCUCUA